rnacentral:rRNA from 1 species
UACAGAGGUCCCAAGCGUUGUUCGGAUUCAUUGGGCGUAAAGGGUGCGUAGGCGGCGCGGUAAGUCGGGUGUGAAAUCUCGGAGCUUAACUCCGAAACUGCAUUCGAUACUGCCGUGCUUGAGGACUGGAGAGGAGACUGGAAUUUACGGUGUAGCGGUGAAAUGCGUAGAUAUUCGGAAGAACACCAGUGGCGAAGGCGACUUACUGGACGAUUGUUGACGCUGAGGUGCGAAAGCGUGGGGAGCGAACAGG